rnacentral:rRNA from 1 species
CCUACGGGUGGCAGCAGUGAGGAAUAUUGGUCAAUGGGCGCGAGCCUGAACCAGCCAAGUCGCGUGAGGGAUGACGGUCCUACGGAUUGUAAACCUCUUUUGCCGGGGAGCAAGCGUGCGUUCGUGAACGCACGUCGAGAGUACCCGGAGAAAAAGCAUCGGCUAACUCCGUGCCAGCAGCCGCGGUACUACGGGGGAUGCGAGCUUUAUCCGGAUUUAUUAGGUUUAAGGGUUGCGUAGGCGGGAUGCCAAGUCAGCGGUAAAAAUGCGGUGCUCAACGCCGUCGAGCCGUUGAAACUGGGGAUCGUGAGUGGGCGAGAAGUAUGCGGAAUGCGUGGUGUAGCGGUGAAAUGCAUAGAUAUCACGCAGAACUCCGAUUGCGAAGGCAGCAUACCGGCGCCCGACUGACGCUGAGGCACGAAAGCGUGGGGAUCGAACAGGAUUAGAUACCCGGGUAGUC